rnacentral:rRNA from 1 species
AUGUCCGAUUCCGAAGCAUCCCCGACGCCCGCGGUUGCGGUUGCGGCUGCGGCAGCGGAGGCGGCGACGGCCGAGAGCUCCCCGUCUCCGGCGAGGAGUGAGGAGCUGCUGCCGGUGGCGGAGAAGAUCUCGGAAUUAAAUGAAUCACAGUCAGAGCUUUUGGGAAGACUUCGAGGUCUUAAGGAGGAUUUGCAGAGCUGGAGAAGCAAUUUAGACACCCAAGUGCAGAAAUACAAAACUGAAAUCUCCGAUAUCAAAACUGCACUUAAUAGUGAGAUAGACCAGCUGAAAUCAGAUUUCCAAGAACUGAGGACCACCCUUAAGAAGCAACAGGAAGAUGUGACUAUUAGCUUGAAGAAUUUGGGGCUAGAAGAUUCUACCGAAACUGAUGGGAACAAAGGAAGUGGGGAGGAAAAUACAAGUGAGGGUGCAUUAGCAAACAUGGGGGACCUGAAACUAGAAGAUUCUGCCGAAACUGAUGGGAACAAAGGAAGUGAGGACGAAAAUACAAGUGAGGGUGCAUUAGCAAACAUGGGGGACCUGAAAUUGGAGGAUAAUCCAGAAAAUAAUGAUGAAAGCAGUGGGGUUGAGGAGGAAAAGAAUCAGGAGGCCCCUGAAGAAGAUGGCAUGGCGGGCAUAGAAGGUACCAAGACGGAAGAUGACACGGCGGGCAAAGAAGAUACCAAGAUGGAAGAUGACACGGCGGGCAUAGAAGGUACCAAGACGGAAGAUGUCAUGGCGGGCAUAGAAGGUACCAAGACGGAAGAUGUCAUGGCGGGCAUAGAAGGUACCAAGACGGAAGAUGACAUGGCGGACAUAGAAGGUACCAAGACGGAGAAUCCAAGCGACGAAUAA